rnacentral:rRNA from 1 species
UCGAGAAUCUUCGGCAAUGGGCGCAAGCCUGACCGAGCGACGCCGCGUGGAGGAUGAAGGCCUUCGGGUUGUAAACUCCUGUCGAGGGGGAGGAAGGUCGGGUAACCGGCUUGACCGAUCCCUGGAGGAAGCACGGGCUAAGUUCGUGCCAGCAGCCGCGGUAAGACGAACCGUGCGAACGUUAUUCGGAAUCACUGGGCUUAAAGCGCGUGUAGGCGGAUGGGGACGUCGGUCGCUGAAAUCCCCCGGCUCAACCGGGGAACGGGCACCGAAACGCCCCGUCUCGAGGGACGUAGGGGGACCUGGAACAUCCGGUGGAGCGGUGAAAUGCGUUGAGAUCGGAUGGAACGCCCGUGGCGAAAGCGAGGUCCUGGACGUCUUCUGACGCUGAGACGCGAAAGCUAGGGGAGCGAACGGGAUUAGAUACCCCCGUAGUCC